rnacentral:rRNA from 1 species
UACGGAGGGGGCUAGCGUUGUUCGGAAUUACUGGGCGUAAAGCGCGCGUAGGCGGACCUGCAAGUCGGGGGUGAAAGCCCGAGGCUCAACCUCGGAACUGCCUUCGAUACUGCGGGUCUCGAGUCCGGGAGAGGUGAGUGGAAUUCCUAGUGUAGAGGUGAAAUUCGUAGAUAUCAGGAGGAACACCUGUGGUGUAGACAGCUUACUGGACCACUUCUGACGCUGAGACACGAAAGCGUGGGUAGCAAACAGG